rnacentral:rRNA from 1 species
UACGUAGGUGGCGAGCGUUGUCCGGAUUUACUGGGCGUAAAGGGUGCGCAGGCGGCGUCGCAAGUCAGGCGUGAAAUCCCCGGGCUUAACCUGGGAACUGCACUUGAAACUACGAUGCUGGAGUAUGGCAGAGGGAGGUGGAAUUCCACGUGUAGCGGUGAAAUGCGUAGAGAUGUGGAGGAACACCGAUGGCGAAGGCAGCCUCCUGGGCCAAUACUGACGCUCAUGCACGAAAGCGUGGGGAGCAAACAGG